rnacentral:sRNA from 1 species
ACUGUGCGCGAGAGAGGAGGGAAGGGGGAAGCGUUCGUGCCUCUCUGCCCCCUGUCCCCCUCUUGCUGCAUAGUAGCCACAUCCAUGUCUCUUGUACCCUGCAAUCUGGAGGCCCCUGCCAGAAGCGGGAAAUCCCAAGUACAGCAGCAAAAGGCUUGAGGAUGGAUUCUUGGCUCCUGGUGCAUUGCCACUCCCUGCCACCCUCCUCCUUGUCUUCUGUCUUCUCCUGGUGGCUUCAGGCCUUGCUUCAUGUCCCAAAAGGAGCCUCUGGGGCUGGCACAGCCCUCACUGCCUACAACCUGGGCCUGGUGGUUCUCCUAGGGUGCCUCUGGGAGGUCAUGGCCACCCCGCUGCUGGCUAACUGCAGCUACUUCUGCCAGCCAGUGGACUACAGAUGGAGCAAGCAUGGAAUGAGGGUAUGGCAGGGAGCAGGAAGCAAGCCUAGAGAGGGUUAGGAGGAACAACUUCAUAACAAUCGGAGGUCAAGGAGGCAUCUUCCUGGAGACAGGAAGGUAGGCAUUGUGGAAUCAGCGGUGCGUAGAACAGUGAGGAUUUGGGGCUGAACCCAGCCCAGGUGGGACAAGCCGUGGCACCAGCCGGACUGCAGUCUGAUGGAACUUCCCCUUCCUGCCCAGCAGAUGGCGAGCGUGUGCUGCUGGUGCCUCUUUCCAAAGGACGUUGAAUUGCUUGACAGCCCUGCCCAGCAUCUAGAAGACCACAUGAAGCUUUCACACUUUGAGACCUUAGAUCCUACGAGGGUUUGAAUUUCAAAAGCUUCAAUUAAAGCGCACAGUGUUCCAGGUGUUCUUUACUUUAUGAAUGAAGCCGGAGCAGCCCACCUUCCUGCAUCUCUACCACCAUGGCACCAUGCCCUGUGAUGGGUGGGCUGGAGUCAAAUACGUAGCAGGCAACCAGGGUCAGUUUGUGGCCACUGCUGCCCCCUCUUCCUACAGUCUCCUCACUGAGUGCCCCUUCCCUGUUGGGUUCAACACAUCUGUGCUCCUGUAAGCCCUCAGCCUCCUGGUUCUCUUCCUCAACUUCUACCACCAGACACAUCUGAGAAGCAAGCAAGAGAGGCUGAACUAGGAGCAGGACCCAGGGACUGAAACCAUCACAGCAUCCCCACAGAGAAUUGGGUGGAAGGCAGCGUGGCUUCCAGCUUACUGGUGCUGAGCAGAUUUCUCUGGGUCUCCAUUGUAUCCUCUGAAGGAAGGAGGAGGAUUGCCUUCUGUCCAGAUCUCAGGAUCAAACAAAUAGGUCCAACUUCCUGUGCUCACUUCAGUUAGAGCACUUCUCAUGUGACUUUGUAGCUUUGUGUGCAUCUCCUUCCUCUACUAGACCUAAGCCCCUCACGGGAGGGACUCUCUUAUUCUUGAUGUUCCCCACACCUGGAAUUUCAAUAAACAUCUCAAUAAAC